CUCCCGCGACCGCGCCUCCCUCUCCUGCUUCCAUGCCGCCGCUCUCUCCUCCUUCCUCCCGCCUCACCUCUCUCCCGAGCCCGCCUCCCUGUCGUGCCGCCCAGCCGCCUCCUCCCUCGCUCGCUUCCUCUCCUCCCGCAGCCGCCUCCCUCCCUCCCUCACUCGCUCCUAAUCCGGCGACGGCGGCGGCGGCUGCCGCGCCCACGCCCGUCUGCUCCCCGCCGCCAUCACCUCCUUCAUCCGGCCGGCGACCCAUGGCGUGCCUGUCUGCUCCGCCCGCACUCGUGCCGCCCCCUCUCCUCUUCCUCCCGCAUCACCUCUUUCUCCCCCCUCCUAACGAUCAAACCCUAAUCCCCCGCCCCGGCCCCGGCUCCCGCCGGAGGGAAGGAGGAACAGCGACGCGAGGCAAAGGUGGCGGCGUAGGGGACGCAACAUCCCCUCCAAGAGCCUCGGAAGGCAAAUGGGGAAGCUGCUGCGGGUUCUUCGACCUUCCCUGCCUCAUCCCGUCUCUGUAGGUGCAACAUGUAGAUCAGCCAGAGGAGGUGGAUGUGGAGGAGCAGGCCAACACCCCUCCCUCUUCACCUCCCACCCAGCACUGGAUACUAUUGUGAGAUGGUUUGAUACAUUAAAGACAGGCUCAAGCCCCUCUAGGGAAGCAUCCAGUAUCCCUGUUCUACUGAUUUCGCCGGAACGUCGACCUAUGCUCCACCUGAGGUACGCGGUUCUAAAAUCCACACAGCGAAGCCAUGAGUAGCCUUCAAGUAGCAAGCUGUUAUGUUUCAAAAUUUAUUUGAAAGAGCAUGUGUUUUGGGAUUUAUACUUCACCAUGAUCUUUUACUGUGUAUCUGCAACCAUAGCGUCUAUCGUCAUUACCUUGCCAUAUACAGACAGUCUGUGGAGUUUUGCAAAAAAAAGUGAGACCUAUAAUAAUCAGUGAUGAUUAUGAUAUGAUUACUGGAUCAGUAAUUCAGAGCAGGUAAAGACAGCAAGUUCAGAAAUCGUUGCUCUGUAAUGAUAAUAUUCUUAGAUUAAUUCAGUCUUAUUGGUUUGGAGUGUGCCACUUCUGCGUUUUUUUUAAUUUAAUGCCACUUCAGUAAAUUAAACAAUGAUGUCUCCAAUGCAUAUGCUACUUCUUUACUUCAAACUAUAGCAUGUGUGUUUAGUUUCACCGAUUUUGCAUUAUGAAAUUCUCACUCACCAAUUCUGCCCGAUCUCUUCCUCCUUGACGCUCGGCGGGAGGAGCUCAGGCGGCCACCACACAAAGGGAGAGGAAGCCAAAACGAAUCUAUCCCGCCUUACUAUCCAUGACCCGACGACAGACAGCUACUUCGAGCCUAAGUGAGCAGCCGCCAGCCCUGCAUUUCGAGUCUAGGAAGCACAGAAGAAGGUAGUAAGAUGCAGCGUCUUUCCACAAGGCAACGAUGCCAGAGAAUGUCUUCGUGUUUUUGCAUAUUGUGUCACUGCCCGUAGAUGGUGCAGUGCUUCAUGAUCACCAUGGAAACAAAUUCUCUGUUUAAUCAAGAUAAAUGGUCACCAUUGUGGAAACAUAUCCGAUAUAGUUUAAAAUUUAUGUUUUUAACUUUAUGAUGGAAACAAAUAUAUGUUCAUAUGGAAACAAUUCUCUGAUAUAUGAAAAUAGUAUCAUAAUGAUCAGAAGCAAAAUAUAUAUCUAUG